GAUUAUUUUUUGAAAAUGAUGACGAUGGUGAUGGUGAUACAAUUGGACAGUAUAUCUACUCCAACUGAUUGAAUCAAUCUCAGUUAAAAUUUCUAUCUUUUCUCUUUUCAGCCCAUUUAAUCUGAAUGAUGGAUUUGAUAAACAAGAAGAUCAUCACCAACAACAAACCCGUAAAGUAAUUAUUGAUACAGGAAAGAAGAUUUAACCAACAAAAUGAUAUAAACACAAGUGCAACCUGUGUAUAUCGAGGAAUAUGUAGACAAGGAGAAACUGCAUUUCUGCUGUCUGUUUGCUGUUGUUUGUUGGCCCCAAAGGCAUUGUAACGAUGGACUCAUCUUCAGUUACGAGAGACUUUUCCUUUCUCAACCUCUCCUUUUUUGCAAUCUUUUUGAACCAGUUAAUUUGAUUACAUGUCCCUUUGAUUGACGCUUCCAAGUGGCUCUGGUUAGCCUUUUUUACCAAAUUAUGGGAAAACCUUCUGCUACUUCUUGGUAGACAACAAGCUUCUUCCCUAUUUCCUAUCGGAAUGUCAUAUUACAUAAGCAUAAAUGUGUACAUUUGAAUUUAUUUAUAUUAUCAUAUAUUAUAAGUGUGUAUGUAUACAUUUAUGCUUGAAUUUGAGGGAAGCGAGAAUGACUUGGAAGGACAACAAGAUGAGAAAAAGAUGUUGUAAAAAAGCUAACUUGGCCUCUUAAAAUGAAUUUAAGAGAUUUUUAUACCUUUUUCUGACAGUUUGUUUGACUUUUACCUUGACUUAAUUGGAGUCACAUCUCUAGUCAUUUUUAGCUCUUCUCUGCCUCUGUUACCCUUUGCUAAAAAGAUUGAGAGUCAUUUAUUUUGCUCUUGUUGUCACUUUACUUUGACUUGAUAAAUACAUACUUAAUUAAUUAGUGAUUUAGAUUGCAUUCAUCUUCAACCUUUUUAUCAUUUGAUGUCCUCAUCUGCACUUGCAUUUUCUUUCAUCAUCUUUCUCUCUCUUUCUACUUCACUUUAUUUAUGAUUUAACAAACUAUUCAUCUUCGUUUCUAGCUAUCGAACAGGGAAAAUGAGCUUUUCUCAUCAAUGUUAUAAAAGUUGUUGUAUUCAGAUCCAUUGUAAAACUCACCAUUGUCAGGCAAUUUGUUGUCUGGAAAUGCUACUCGAGUCACACUUUAUGUUAUAUUUGAAGAUUUGCUGCAUAUUCAUAUCAGACUAUUAAUUAUCCUCUUUUUGUUUUUUACAUAUUUUGAUGAGACUUCAUUUUGCUAAGCUUCAAAGUUAUCAAAGAUUGACAGCUGAUGUGAUUUAAUUUCUGGUCGUAUUUACAGUUAUCAGAUUUCAAUUAGAUUGUUGAUGUUGAAAUUGAAUGGAGACAGAUUUAUGAAAUGAUUGAGAUGAGAUUAAUGUGAAUUUCAGAGAAAGAGAAAUGCAUCAAUCAAGAAUGUAUCGUCUUCAUCAUUAAUUUGUAAAAUGAUUAAGAGCCAAAAAAGCUGUUUCAACAAAUCGGACUCCAGAUUAAAUAAGAUACAAACACUCUCUCACUCUCCAUGAAGAUGAAAAGUAUUGAUGAAGAUGCUGAUAAUUAUGAUUAGACAGGUAUUUUUAUCUGUCCAGAUAGAUUGACCGUCUGCCACCACCAGGGAUAUAUUUUGAUGGAUGAGUUGAUCUAAACCCGUUUCUGGAUCAUCUUGUUGACUUUCAUGGUAAUUUGUUAGCAAGAAAAGCAAAGAUUCCUGUUUUUACAGAAAAAAUUAAAUCAUCCUCAAAAGAUAUCAAUUAACUUUUCCCAAAUUUUUGGAAUCAAUUGAAUAUCAAGACACACCCGAGCUGAGAUUGACAAGGUAACAUUUGACAGUUUCUUACCUGCUUAUCUUUUCAACAAAUCUCAUGGUAAAAAAAGGUAAAAAGAUCCAACUGAAAGGUCAUUUGGUAAUCAAAACAUCCAGUUCUGAUUGGUCAAGUUCAAGAGCAGAAAAGAUGGGCGAAGGUUAAAUUCAGCAAACGACUCACGGAAACCUACAGAAUUGAACAGCUGAAAACUCGAACGAUUUCUGUCCAAAGCCUCAAUCUUCUUUUCUUUUUGACUGACAUCUAACAAAUCAACAACAGAGAUAAUCAAGAAAUAUCAUUUGAAAUGUACUUGAUUGAUUGCCUUUACACUACAUUUUGUAAGAGUAUCGGUACAUCAACGGAAAAUAAAUGAUGGACCUAAACCCGACUAAAUACACUCGAGCUAGGGAUUCAAGUGGUUGGGACAUUGAAAUGGAUAUUGAAAAAGGGAGAAGCAAGAAAUUUAAAUAGAGUGACAAGAAUAAAUAACGGAAACAAUUAUUUAAUUCAUAAAUUGAAUUGGAUUCUAGAUUAUUGAAUGGUUCGAUGAACCUAAAAGGCUACUUUUCUUUGGCUUGGAGUGAAAUUAUUCUUUAAUUUUCUCUAAUUUCUUUUGCUUCGUUUUAUUUUAGGUUUCUCUUUAUUCAAUUUUGGAAGAAUUUUAAAAAAGUUUUUCAGGAUAGUUAGUCGAUAACUUCAAGUUUCAUUGUGCAGUACGAUAAUUGCAUUGAAAUGACUCUUGUGACUGAAUUAUUUUUUAUUGUAUCGCAAUUAUACCAAGUACUGCCAUCUAUGAACAUCAAGUUUAUUUUGAGAAUUUUAAGCUUGAAGCUGAUGAUGUAGAUGAUGAAAUGAUUGGAAUCAAUUUUUCAAUUGGAUGGCUGAUUGAAUUGAUGAAAGAUGAUAUUGAUAGUCUAU